rnacentral:rRNA from 1 species
AGGACAAACGCUGGCGGCGUACCUAAGACAUGCAAGUCGAACGGAUUGCGUAUCUUCGGAUGUGCAGUGAGUGGCGAACGGGUGAGUAACGCGUAGGAACCCGCCUCGACGUGGGGGAUAACACUUGGAAACAGGUGCUAAUACCGCAUGUGGUCGAGAGAAGAAAGGCUUGAGCAAUCAAGCCGCGUUGAGAGGGGCCUGCGUCCGAUUAGCUAGUUGGUGGGGUAACGGCUUACCAAGGCGACGAUCGGUAGCUGGUCUGAGAGGAUGGUCAGCCACACUGGGACUGAGACACGGCCCAGACUCCUACGGGAGGCAGCAGUUAGGAAAUUUUGCCAAUGGGGGAAACCCUGAGCGAGUAACGCCGCGUGGAGGACGAAGGCCUUCGGGUUGUAAACUCCUUUCUGUGGGACGAUGAUGACGGUACCACGAGGAAGAAGCCCGGCUAACUACGUGCCAGCAGCCGC